UGUCUCUUCCUGGUUAGGCUUAUUGUUGCUGUUUUUCCCCCUUCAUGUAGUGGCUAAUUAGCAAAAUGGUUUCCUCCAUGCUCGGAUUGGUUUAGGCCCUGUUAAUUAGCCCCUUUGGCCUCCUUAAAGCAGACAACACAUGCACCCUUGCUCUCCAUUUCUGAUUUGCCCCUCUAGCUGCUGCUGGAAGCUCCUGUUUGAAGCCAAUGCUGUUCAUGCUUUUAAGGAUCAGUUCCUGACUAUUGCCUUGAUUUUAUGUACGGUAGGCCCAGCCAUUCGGGUUUUAAGGUAAAAACUAGUUCUUGUUUUUGUUCAAGAUAUUGUAAGUGAUAUUGUAAGUCUCUUAACAGUUUUCAAUUUCAUUUUUUUGUAGGACUGACCUCUAGCUAGCUGCUGUUUUGUAAUUAUUCUGUUUUAUUUUGAUUUGUUUUGAGAUCGUUUUGGUUUAUUUUGAGUAUAUUGGUUUGUUUGUUUCUGUUUUAUUUGUUUCUUUUGAUUAAUAUUAUUUUGUAUAAUGUUUUGCUCAGUAGACUAAACUAGAGACUUUAUGGGCUGUAUUAAGUCACUGCCAUCAUAACACUUUUGCUAGUGGUUCUUGGAAGCCUGGUUAGACCUAAGAGUAACAAUUAGGGAAAUACUUUUGUCACUUUUUAAAGUGUGAGGUUUUAAGCUGUGAGAUCUUUUGUUGGUAUUUAUAAACACGUGUGACUAAUCAGAUUUUUGGGUGUUAAAUUUCCCUUUCUUUCUUGUCUACCUGUUUAUCUCCAGGCCCCUUGGAUGUGUGGAUUUAAGCAGUGGUGUUCAGUUGCAUAAAGAGCCCUGUGUUUUAAUUGAAUAACUAUAUUCUUGAUUUGGUACCAAUGUUUUAAUGAAAGUAAAAAUAAAUGUGAAUGAGAUUUCUAUUUUGUGUGGAAAAUAAAUUAAUUGUUUUGGAAACUUG